rnacentral:rRNA from 1 species
UACGUAGGUCCCGAGCGUUGUCCGGAUUUAUUGGGCGUAAAGCGAGCGCAGGUGGUUUAUUAAGUCUGGUGUAAAAGGCAGUGGCUCAACCAUUGUAUGCAUUGGAAACUGGUAGACUUGAGUGCAGGAGAGGAGAGUGGAAUUCCAUGUGUAGCGGUGAAAUGCGUAGAUAUAUGGAGGAACACCGGUGGCGAAAGCGGCUCUCUGGCCUGUAACUGACACUGAGGCACGAAAGCGUGGGGAGCAAAUAGG